GAGUUUGAUCAUGGCUCAGAACGUACGCUGGCGGCACGCCUAACACAUGCAAGUCGAACGAAGUAGCAAUACUUAGUGGCAGACGGGUGAGUAACAUGUAGGUAUCUGCCCUUUGGCCUGGAAUAACACGAGGAAACUUGUGCUAAUACCGGAUAAGUCUUUACGGAGAAAGCUUUAUGCACCAUUGGAUGAGCCUGCACUUGAUUAGUUUGUUGGUGGGGUAAUGGCCUACCAAGACUGUGAUCAAUAGCUGAUUUGAGAGGAUGAUCAGCCACAUUGGGACUGAGACACGGCCCAAACUCCUACGGGAGGCAGCAGUGGGGAAUCUUGCACAAUGGAGGAAACUCUGAUGCAGCGAUGCCGCGUGAGUGAAGAAGGCCCUUGGGUUGUAAAGCUCUUUCGUCGGGGAAGAAAAUGACUGUACCCGAAUAAGAAGGUCCGGCUAACUUCGUGCCAGCAGCCGCGGUAAUACGAAGGGACCUAGCGUAGUUCGGAAUUACUGGGCUUAAAGAGUUCGUAGGUGGUUGAAAAAGUUAGUGGUGAAAUCCCAGAGCUUAACUCUGGAACUGCCAUUAAAACUUUUCAGCUAGAGUAUGAUAGAGGAAAGCAGAAUUUCUAGUGUAGAGGUGAAAUUCGUAGAUAUUAGAAAGAAUACCAAUUGCGAAGGCAGCUUUCUGGAUCAUUACUGACACUGAGGAACGAAAGCAUGGGUAGCGAAGAGGAUUAGAUACCCUCGUAGUCCAUGCCGUAACCGAUGUGUGUUAGACGUUGGAAAUUUAUUUUCAGUGUCGCAGGGAAAGCGUUAAGCACACCGCCUGGGGAGUACGACCGCAAGGUUAAAACUCAAAUGAAUUGACGGGGACCCGCACAAGUAGUGGAGCAUGUGGUUUAAUUCGAAGAUACGCGCAGAACCUUACCAACACUUGACAUGUUCGUCGCGACUCUAAGAGAUUAGAGUUUUCGGUUCGGCCGGACGAAACACAGGUGCUGCAUGGCUGUCGUCAGCUCGUGUCGUGAGAUGUUGGGUUAAGUCCCGCAACGAGCGCAACCCCUACUUUUAGUUGCUACCAUUUAGUUGGGCACUCUAAAAGAACUGCCAGUGAUAAGCUGGAGGAAGGCGGGGAUGACGUCAAGUCCUCAUGGCCCUUACGUGUUGGGCUACACACGUGCUACAAUGGUACUUACAGUGAGAAGCAAAGAGGCGACUCUAAGCCAAUCCCUAAAAGGUACCUCAGUUCGGAUUGUACUCUGCAACUCGAGUACAUGAAGCUGGAAUUACUAGUAAUCGCGGAUCAGCGCGCCGCGGUGAAUACGUUCCCGGGUCUUGUACACACCGCCCGUCACACCAUGGAAGUUGGUUACACCUUAAGGCAAAGCAUAAAACCUUUGACUACGGUACGAUCAGCGACUGGGGUGAAGUCGUAACAAGGUAACC
rnacentral:rRNA from 1 species